GGCGGCAGGCCUAACACAUGCAAGUCGAGCGGNAGCACAAGAGAGCUUGCUCUCUGGGUGACGAGCGGNGGACGGGUGAGUAAUGUCUGGGAAACUGCCUGAUGGCGGGGGAUAACUAGNGGNAACGGUAGCUAAUACCGCAUAACGUCGCAAGACCAAAGUGGGGGACCUUCGGGCCUCACGCCAUCAGAUGUGCCCAGGUGGGAUUAGCUGGUAGGUGGGGUAACGGCUCACCUAGGCGACGAUCCCUAGCUGGUCUGAGAGGAUGACCAGCCACACUGGAACUGAGACACGGUCCAGACUCCUNCGGGAGGCAGCAGUGGGGAAUAUUGCACAAUGGGCGCAAGC
rnacentral:rRNA from 1 species